rnacentral:rRNA from 1 species
AGUGAACGCUGGCGGCGUGCCUAAUACAUGCAAGUCGAACGGAGUGGCUCACGGGUGAGUAAUGUAUAGCUCAUCUGCCCUCCACUAGAGUACAACAGUUGGAAACGACUGCUAAUACUCUAUAGUGUAGGAUGGGGCUGUAUUGUAUCAGCUAGUUGGUGAGGUAAUGGCUCACCAAGGCUAUGACGCAUAACUGGUCUGAGAGGAUGUUCAGUCACACUGGAACUGAGACACGGUGCAGACGCCUACGGGAGGCAGCAGUAGGGAAUAUUGCUCAAGGGGGGAAACCCUGAAGCAGAAACGCCGCGUGGAGGAUGAAACUUUUCGGAGCGUAAACUCAUUUUGUUAGGGAAGCGGUACCUAACGAAUAAGCACCGGCUAACUCCGUGCCAGCCGCCGCGGUAAUAC